ACAAUGGAGAGUUUGAUCCUGGCUCAGGAUGAACGCUAGCGGCAGGCUUAACACAUGCAAGUCGAGGGGCAGCAAGGGUAGCAAUACCUGUUGGCGACCGGCGCACUGGUGAGUAACGCGUAUGCAACUUUCCCUUAACAGGGGGAUAGCUUCGAGAAAUCGAAAUUAAUACCCCAUAACAACAGUUUUUCACAUGAGAGAUUGUUUAAAGCCACGGUGGUUAAGGAUGGGCAUGCGUGACAUUAGCUAGUUGGUGAGGUAACGGCUCACCAAGGCGACGAUGUCUAGGGGGUCUGAGAGGAUGAUCCCCCACACUGGUACUGAGACACGGACCAGACUCCUACGGGAGGCAGCAGUGAGGAAUAUUGGUCAAUGGACGCAAGUCUGAACCAGCCAUGCCGCGUGCAGGAAGACGGCCCUACGGGUUGUAAACUGCUUUUAUACAGGGAUAAACGUUAGUUUGCGAACUAAUCUGAAGGUACUGUAUGAAUAAGGAUCGGCUAACUCCGUGCCAGCAGCCGCGGUAAUACGGAGGAUCCAAGCGUUCUCCGGAUUUAUUGGGUUUAAAGGGUGUGCAGGCGGGAUGAUAAGUCAGUGG
rnacentral:rRNA from 1 species